rnacentral:rRNA from 1 species
GAUGAACGCUGGCGGCGUGCCUAAUACAUGCAAGUAGAACGCUGAAGCUUGGUGCUUGCACCGAGCGGAAGAGUUGCGAACGGGUGAGUAACGCGUAGGUAACCUGCCUCUUAGCGGGGGAUAACUAUUGGAAACGAUAGCUAAUACCGCAUAAAAGUCGGCAUUGCAUGAUGUUGACUUGAGAGGUGCAACUGCAUCACUAAGAGAUGGACCUGCGUUGUAUUAGCUAGUUGGUGGGGUAACGGCUCACCAAGGCGACGAUACAUAGCCGACCUGAGAGGGUGAUCGGCCACACUGGGACUGAGACACGGCCCAGACUCCUACGGGAGGCAGCAGUAGGGAAUCUUCGGCAAUGGACGGAAGUCUGACCGAGCAACGCCGCGUGAGUGAAGAAGGUUUUCGGAUCGUAAAGCUCUGUUGUAAGAGAAGAACGAGUGUGAGAGUGGAAAGUUCACACUGUGACGGUAACUUACCAGAAAGGGACGGCUAACUACGUGCCAGCAGCCGCGGUAAUACGUAGGUCCCGAGCGUUAUCCGGAUUUAUUGGGCGUAAAGCGAGCGCAGGCGGUUAGAUAAGUCUGAAGUUAAAGGCUGUGGCUCAACCAUAGUUCGCUUUGGAAACUGUCAAACUUGAGUGCAAGAGGGGAGAGUGGAAUUCCAUGUGUAGCGGUGAAAUGCGUAGAUAUAUGGAGGAACACCGGUGGCGAAAGCGGCUCUCUGGCUUGUAACUGACGCUGAGGCUCGAAAGCGUGGGGAGCAAACAGG